rnacentral:rRNA from 1 species
AUUGAACGCUGGCGGCAGGCCUAACACAUGCAAGUCGAGCGGAGCGGCGGACGGGUGAGUAAUGCCUAGUAAUCUUCCUGGUAGUGGGGGAUAAAGUCCGGAAACGGGCGCUUAUACCGCAUACUAUCAGAUGAGCCUAGGUCGUAUUAGCUAGUUGGGGGGGUAAAGGCCUACCAAGGCGACGAUCCAUAACUGGUCUGAGAGGAUGAUCAGUCACACUGGAACGGAGACACGGUCCAGACUCCUACGGGAGGCAGCAGUGGGGAAUAUUGGACAAUGGGCGAAAGCCUGAUCCAGCCAGGCCGCGUGUGUGAAGAAGGUCUUCGGAUGUUAAAGCACUUUAAGUUGGGAGGCGUUACAAAAAGAAGAAGCACCGGCUAACUUCGUGCCAGCAGCCGCGGUAAUAC